AGCACUGACAGAGGAAAUAAAGAGUCAUUUGUUAACCUGAAAACAGAAGCUCCUGUCUCUAAAGUUAUCAUCUAUGAGGAAACAAACCAGAUCAUCUGCAGUUCAGAGGGAAUCUACCCUCAACCUGAACUCUCCUGGUCCACCAUCCCUCCGUCCAACACACCUCUACGUGUUACAACCACAGUCCAUCAGACUGAGGAUCAGCUUUACAGCAUCCGCAGCUCUCUGGUUUUAGAGGAUGAUCCUAAUGUGACCUACAGCUGCACCGUCAGAACUCAGAGGAACAACAUGACAGCCACUUAUAGGAAACCAGGUGACCC